rnacentral:rRNA from 1 species
UUGACCUCAAAUCAGGUAGGAUUACCCGCUGAACUUAAGCAUAUCAAUAAGCCGGAGGA